AGAGUUUGAUUCUGGCUCAGGAUGAACGCUAGCGACAGGCUUAACACAUGCAAGUCGAGGGGCAGCGGGGAGGUAGCAAUACUUCCGCCGGCGACCGGCGCACGGGUGAGUAACACGUAUGGAACCUGCCCGUAGCAGGGGGAUAAGCGGAAGAAAUUCCGUCUAAUACCGCGUAAUAACUCCGAGAGGCAUCUCUUGGGGUUUAAAGGGUAACACCGGCUACGGAUGGCCAUGCGGCGCAUUAGCUAGUUGGCGGGGUAACGGCCCACCAAGGCGACGAUGCGUAGGGGUUCUGAGAGGAAGGUCCCCCACACUGGUACUGAGACACGGACCAGACUCCUACGGGAGGCAGCAGUGAGGAAUAUUGGUCAAUGGGCGCGAGCCUGAACCAGCCAAGUCGCGUGAGGGAAGACGGUCCUAUGGAUUGUAAACCUCUUUUGUCGGGGAGCAAAAGGCGCCACGUGUGGCGUUCCGAGAGUACCCGAAGAAAAAGCAUCGGCUAACUCCGUGCCAGCAGCCGCGGUAAUACGGAGGAUGCGAGCGUUAUCCGGAUUUAUUGGGUUUAAAGGGUGCGC
rnacentral:rRNA from 1 species